AACGAACGCUGGCGGCGUGGAUAAGACAUGCAAGUCGAGCGCUCAUUCGUUUGCAGCAAUGUACACGAGUGGGAGCGGCGCAAGGGUGCGUAACGCGUGGGUAAUUUGCCGUGAAGUUGGGAAUAACUCCGAGAAAUCGGAGCUAAUGCCGAAUGUGGUUGCCUGGGGGCAUCUCCGGGUUACUAAAGUUGGGGACCGAAAGGCCUGACGCUUCACGAUAAGCCCGCGCCCUAUCAGCUAGUUGGUGAGGUAACGGCCCACCAAGGCUAAGACGGGUAGCUGGUCUGAGAGGACGACCAGCCACACUGGAACUGAGACACGGUCCAGACACCUACGGGUGGCAGCAGUCGAGAAUUUUUCACAAUGGGCGAAAGCCUGAUGGAGCGACGCCGCGUGGGGGAUGAAGGGCUUCGGCCCGUAAACCCCUGUCAUUUGCGAACAAUUCUUUUCCGAUAACACCGGAAAAGUUGAUGGUAGCGAAAGAGGAAGGGACGGCUAAC
rnacentral:rRNA from 1 species